GAAGGAGGAGGAGGAGGAGGAGGAGAAAGUGGCUCUCAGCGGCCGGUCGGAUUAAAAGUAACCAGACUCGUCCAGAAAACUGCGUCCAGGAAGGAAGUGACAGAAGACGAAUGGGAAAAGGAGAACAGCUCACAGCGUUUGAAACAUCGCGGCACCACUUUCAGAUAAAAACAUAGACCUGAAUGGCAUCAUCCAGUAUCCAAGGAAACCAUUGUGUCUGUAACCAGCUAAUGAGCUGCAACAGAGCCUGGCCUUCAUUUUCAGCAAAUUAAGUUCAUCCCUCAUAGGAAUUGUGGUCUGGCUGUGGCACCGCUCCUAGGUUCUCUAAACAUGAAUAUGCCUUUGGGGGAAGACAGAAGAACAUGGAAGCCAUGUGAAAAAAACGGAUCCUAAGGCAGUUUUGAACAUCUGGAGGCCUGAUUUAUUGGAGAUUGCAAAUGUACAGUGUAACAUAGCUGUGGAGAGCGAGAAGAUCAGGAUUGUCAAUGCUGUCAUUGCUUUUACUGGAAUCCCCAGCACGAAUUGAAGGUCUCACUUUGCCACCUAGGCUGGAUGCAAUGCAACGGUAUGUUGAUCUUGGUUCACUGCAGCCUCAACCUCCUGAGCUCAUGUGAUCCUCCCACCUCAGUCCCCCACGUCGCUUGGAUUACAGGCCUGUGCCACCACACCUGGCUAACUUUUUUUGUAAUUUUUGUAGAGACAGGGUCUCACUAUGUUUCCCAUGCUGGUCUUUAAUGCCUGAGCUCAAGCCAUCCGCCUGCCUCGGCCUCCCAAAUUGCUGGGAUUACAGGCAUGAGCCACCAUGCCCAGCCUAAUUCUUCUAAAUCUUAUCCUAGUAAUUAAGCCAGAAUUUUUCUCUGCCAAGACCAAUAGAUGGACCAAGAAGUACUCAUCCUUGUAAACUUUCUUUGGAUAAAUUGCUUACAUAUAAUAAAUUCAGAGUUAAGUAAUAAAAAUAAUGAACUACUGUCUUG
rnacentral:lncRNA from 10 species